rnacentral:tRNA from 1 species
GCCUUUGUGCUGUAACGGUAGCACUUUCGGCUCGUAUUCGAGAGGUACAGGUUCGAACCCCCGUCGAGGACA